AACGUAGGGGGCGAGCGUUGUCCGGAAUUACUGGGCGUAAAGGGCGUGUAGGUGGCCUGUGAAGUCGAAAGUGAAAACCUGGGGCUCAACCCCGGGCCUGCUUUCGAAACCAGCAGGCUUGAGGACAGGAGAGGGAAGCGGAAUUCCCAGUGUAGCGGUGAAAUGCGUAGAUAUUGGGAGGAACACCAGUGGCGAAAGCGGCUUUCUGGCCUGUAACUGACACUGAGGCGCGUAAGCGUGGGGAGCAAACCGG
rnacentral:rRNA from 1 species